rnacentral:misc_RNA from 1 species
GUUCGCCGCCCUAAUCGUCCUGACCACUGUGCUGUGACGGACCCACCAACUCCCUUUACCGUUCUAUCCUCUUUCCCUUCAAUUUCUUCACCCAAAAAAACGUCUUCUUCGCCCCCAUUCCAAAACACCUCUCCUCUUCCUCCACCUCCUCGGCUGUCGUCUAUCGUUGGAGCCACUCUUUGUCUUGUUUUGGUAGUAAAGGGAUUGUAAAGAGAGAAAUUUUAUAAUGAGAGAUGGUGGGUUUAAGCAUAGUUUUGGAGGCACAAAAGGGUGGUGUUAACGAGAAAACCCCACAACUGAUCAGCAAAGCCAUUGUGAUGAUCAAUAAACCCUCUCCUUCUUCAAGCUCUUUUUCUUCCCACUCGUCUUUUCCGGUACUUAAUUUUCUUGAGCAUUGCUUCCUCUGUGGACAGAAACUCUUGCCUGGAAAGGACAUCUACAUGUACAAGUAAGCAGUAUGUAGCAAACAAACACCAUACUGUUACUACUUCUCUUCCAUUUUUAAUGUUUUUCUUUAAAUACCCACAUCUUAUUUGGUGGAUAUUGGCCCAAUAAGCACUUCAUUCUCGCUUGCCAAUCUCUAAAAGAUGGAUCUUUUUCUCUUUUUUUGAUGUUUAUACUGUGUUUUUGUGUUAAGCGGUAGUGAGCUCUAAUGGCUUUGUGUUUAUAUUUCUUGUUAAAAGGUUGAUUUGGGUGGUUAUUUUCUUUUAUAUGUAGAGGAGACAUAGCUUUUUGUAGCGUGGAGUGCAGGUGUAGGCAGAUAUUUAUGGACGAGGAGGAGACCCUGAGGAAAGGUAACUGUUCGCUGGCAGCUAUUAAACCAACUUCUGCAUCCUCAUCUUCUGCUUCUCGUCACCACAAAAGCACCAGAAACCGAGCAGGUGGUUCUGCGUAUUGAGAGAGAAAAGGAACGGAAACUUGUUUCGUUUUCAAUUCCAAUAAUUUUGUUUCAGUUUUACCCUAGUGUGAAAUGGCAUUGAUAUCCUCUCUGUCGUUUUUCAGUUUUACCCUAGUGUUUUUGUAAUGACGUUGAUGUCCACAAUCGUCUUUUGCUAAGGGCAUUCAAAUUAGCCUGACGUAUCUACGGAAG